rnacentral:tRNA from 1 species
GGGGAUAUAGCUCAGCUGGUUAGAGCGCUAUACUGAUAAUGUAGAGGUCUGUGGUUCAAGUCCACAUAUCCCCACCA